GAUGAACGCUGGCGGCGUGCUUAACACAUGCAAGUCGAGCGAAGCGGCUGAAUUGAUUCUUCGGAUGAUUUUCAGUUGACUGAGCGGCGGACGGGUGAGUAACGCGUGGGUGACCUGCCCCAUACCGGGGGAUAACAGCUGGAAACGGCUGCUAAUACCGCAUAAGCGCACAGAGCUGCAUGGCCACGUGUGAAAAACUCUGGUGGUAUGGGAUGGGCCCGCGUCUGAUUAGGCAGUUGGCGGGGUAACGGCCCACCAAACCGACGAUCAGUAGCCGGCCUGAGAGGGCGACCGGCCACAUUGGGACUGAGACACGGCCCAAACUCCUACGGGAGGCAGCAGUGGGGAAUAUUGCACAAUGGGGGAAACCCUGAUGCAGCGACGCCGCGUGAGCGAAGAAGUAUUUCGGUAUGUAAAGCUCUAUCAGCAGGGAAGAUAAUGACGGUACCUGACUAAGAAGCCCCGGCUAACUACGUGCCAGCCGCCGCGGUAA
rnacentral:rRNA from 1 species